GCCGAGAUGGCGGAAUUGGUAGACGCCCAUGACUCAAAAUCAUGUGAUCGCAAGGUCGUGAGGGUUCGAGUCCCUCUCUCGGCA
rnacentral:tRNA from 1 species